UACGUAGGGGGCAAGCGUUGUUCGGAAUUACUGGGCGUAAAGGGCGCGUAGGCGGCACGACAAGUCGGGAGUGAAAGCCCGGGGCUCAACCCCGGAAUGUCUCUCGAAACUGUCGAGCUAGAGUGCAGAAGAGGCAACUGGAAUUCCUAGUGUAGCGGUGAAAUGCGUAGAUAUUGGGAAGAACACCUGAGGCGAAGGCGGGUUGCUGGGCUGACACUGACGCUGAGGCGCGAAAGCCAGGGGAGCGAACGGG
rnacentral:rRNA from 1 species